rnacentral:rRNA from 1 species
AGUGAACGCUGGCGGUAGGCCUAACACAUGCAAGUCGAACGGCGGCACAGGAGAGCCUGCUCUCUAGGUGGCGAGUGGCGGACGGGUGAGGAAUACAUCGGAAUCUGCCCAGUCGUGGGGGAUAACGUAGGGAAACUUACGCUAAUACCGCAUACGACCUUCGGGUGAAAGAGGGGGAUCGCAAGACCUCUCGCGAUUGGAUGAGCCGAUGUCGGAUUAGCUAGUUAGCGGGGUAAUGGCCCACCAAGGCGACGAUCCGUAGCUGGUCUGAGAGGAUGAUCAGCCACACUGGAACUGAGACACGGUCCAGACUCCUACGGGAGGCAGCAGUGGGGAAUAUUGGACAAUGGGCGCAAGCCUGAUCCAGCCAUACCGCGUGGGUGAAGAAGGCCUUCGGGUUGUAAAGCCCUUUUGUUGGGAAAGAAAUCUUUCAGGCUAAUACCCUGGGAGGAUGACGGUACCCAAAGAAUAAGCACCGGCUAACUUCGUG